rnacentral:lncRNA from 1 species
GUUAUUCUUCGGUUUGCCUCCUCCCAGUGGCGUGGAUUUGCUCCCGACCCGCUUUUGGGGCGUGCCUGCUUCCUCCUCUCUGUUAGGUGAGUGAGUAGGCGUCAUUCUUCACAGUAGUCCUCUGCCUCCACCGCCCCGGGAUCUCCUUGCGCUCGGUCCUCUACGUGGAGUCACCUAUGCAGAGGAAUUCCACGGGGCGGGGGCGAGGACAGGGUGCGGGGGUCUUUAUGGCAGACAAUCCCCGGCUGAGCGCUUGGCCAGAGUUUCUGUGAUGCUAGAAUCUGGACUGCCUGCGACCUCUCCGGGACUCGGACACCAGCCCUCGCCUCCUGGUGAUCUUUUAGGUCCUGCAGAGAAGUGAAGAGGUAUUGGACGUGGCCAGGGUCAAUAGUGUGAAGCCAGAAUUAGAAUUGAAUUGAAAUGCCUUCGGUUUUGAUAUCUCUGCUGUUUGUCUUGAGGCAACUGCUUUUCCUCCUUUGGGCCUCUCAGUUUUCCAUCUAGUAAGUGAGGAAGUUGAACCUUAUCGGUGAAUCUCGUGUUUUCAGGCGUAGACUCCUUUGAGAAUCUGGUGAGAACUGUAGAUCCUCUUGCCAAAGAAAUGCACCUACACACCAAAUUUUGCAAAAAGAUUUAGGCAGUUCACCAAAGGAGAUGAAUUUUAGGAUUCUUUACAUUUUUCUGAUUCUGAAUGUUGCUCAGAUGGUAGGCGGGAAAAGGUGAUCUGUGCAACAGCUGCCACCCGCUCCAUCACCAGGACUGGUUCUGCUGAUCUAGCUGUGCCUCUCCUCGCCUGCCAAUCUCCAGCUCCACGUCUGCACUGCUCAAAGCUUCGUGAGAACAGAUGAUUUUGCGCAAUUGAGUUGGAUGGCGUUGAUUGUGGCCCACCCCUAGAGUGAGGGUUUUUCCCUGAACCAAAACUGGCCCCAUCCACCGUCAUUCCCCAAUACCUUAGUUGUAGUCAACUAGAUAGGCUGCCGAAGAUGGUUUAACUGUGUCCAGCUUAACUACAGCCAGGCUUUGGAAUGCCUGGCCUAUGUCUGUAAAUGAAAUCUAACAAUUUAUUGUAUAACGUUGUUAAACAUGAAGCAUGAUGUUGGCCCUGGAUAAAACAUUUUAAAUUCUCGUCGUUCAUACCAGAGGCUCAGUAACUGACCGGUUGAAAGAAAACUGUUCAUUGUAACCUAAUGAUGCUAGUUAGAUAGCAUUAGAUUAUGUUAGAGAUCAGAUAACUUGUUCUAGCUGCCUUUGUCCUGUCUCACAGUGCUAGUAAGUCAGGAUUUAAACUGCCCUUCUCAACAUCUCUUGGACAAGAAAAAGCGGGAAAUAUGAUGUAUUUAUUUUCUCAGACCUUGCCAAGUGAAAUGUAUCAAAACCAAACAUGUCUUUUUAAGCUGCCACUUCAAAAUAUAACUUAAGAUAAAAUCUCAUAUAUCCUUGAGAAGGCCUGGCACGGUAGCUCAUGCCUAUAAUCCCAGCACUUUGGGAGGCCGAGGCGGGUGGAUCACUUGAGGUCAGGAGUUUGAGACCAGCCUGGCCAACAUGGCGAAACCCUUUCUCUACUAAAAAUAUGAAAAAUUGGCUGGGCAUGGUGGCGCAUGCACCUAUAAUCCCAGCUACCCGGGAGGCUGAGGCAGGAGAAUCUCUGAAGCCGGGAGGCGGAGGUUGCAGUGAGCCGAGAUUGCGCCACUGCACUCCAGCCUGGGCCAACAGAGCAAAACUGUCUCAAAAAAAAAAAAAAAAUCUCAUAUAUCCUUGAGGGGAAAGAAUUGUCUGGAUCGUGAUUGAAUUCCCAGGGCUUAGCACACUUCCUGGGGAUUAGUAGAUGCUCAAUACAGUUUUGGUGAAUUCUCAUUUUACCUGCUUUCCAUCCCUAAUUAUAUUAAAUACCAAAAACUAAAAAGUUACAGUAUUUCAUUUUAUGUAAGCACAUCUCCAUCAUAAAGAGUUAGAUGCUUUCCAAGAAUGUGACUCAUUACUCGGGGAGUACUUGGAAGGUGGGAACCUCUUGUGAAUGCUGAAGCCUGUUAACUCACACACCUGACGUGGCCUGAAGUUUUAAGUCAUUAUACAUAGGACUGGCUCACGGUGUGAUACAUCAUGACUUGGAAAGAGAUAGAAAAGCUACAAAAUGGGAUGGAUCUGAGUGAACAAAAAGCCAGAUCGGUGUCCUAUACCAGCAAUUCCAAGUCUUUUUAACCAUGGGAAAAAAACCUGAAUUUGUGUGUGGACUUUAUAUUGAAGAAAUCAACUUUGUAUUAAUGCACAUGGUAAUGCCAUUUAAUUAAAAAGCUGUGGUAGAUGUAAAAUUCCUCUAACAGUGCUUCUUUCUUGCUACAAGUGUCUUGUACAUGCUUUAGUAAGAGAGACUUAAUUCCAUGAAUUUAUACUGCAAGAACAAUUUAUAUAGGAAGAUAAUAGUUUCUCUUAAAAAAUAACUUUGGAGAAGCCAAGUCCAAAGUAAUAAAGAAAAUUAUUUGCCUAACCAUGUGGCUGCCAUCCUACCAGUUGGUAAUCUGGAAAAUAUUCUGUUCUUAUGUUUUAAGACUCAAAUUAAUUUAUUUCUUACCUCGAUAUACUUUUUUAAAUGACUUAGGGUAGGCCAGGCGUGGUGGCUCACGCCUGUAAUCCCAACACUUUGGGAGGCUGAGGCAGGUGGAUCACCUGAAGUCAAGAGUUCGAGACCAGCCUGGCUAACAUGGUGAAACCCCAUCUCUACUGAAAAAUAAAUAAAUAAAUAUACAAAAAUUAGCUGGGAGUGGUGGGCACACACCUGUAAUCCUAGCUACUUGGAGGCUGAGGCAUGAGAAGCCCUUGAACCCAGGAGGUGGAGGUUGCAGUGAGCUGAGAUCAUGCCACGGCACUCCAGCCUGGGCUACAGAGCAAGACCUUGUCUCAAAAAAAAAAAUAAAAUUAAAUUAAAAUGACUUUGGGAUAGAAGAUAGUGAUAAUGAUUAUUUGUCUUGAUUUACAAGAUGUUAGCUCAUGUAAUCUUCAUAACCAAUUUGUGAAAUGUACUUCUAUGAUGUCUGUUUUACAGCUGAGGAAACUAGGCUCAGAAUAGUUAGAUAACUUGUCCAAGGUUACAUAGUUUGUAAGUGGUAGAACGGGGAUUCCAAUCUAGGCAGUCUGACUAUAGCACCCUGCUGACCGCUGAGUUACACUGCUUUCCUUAGCCUCCCCACCUUCACCUCCUGUAUGUACCCAGCUAGACCAGGGAUACCUGCUUUCACCUGGAAAAUACCACUGGGUUUGAGGAAAUUGGCUGCCCAGGGCCUAGGACUGUUCCAGCCACUCUUUCUUUGCAUAUAUUUGAACCCAGCAGGCAUAUUUCCCUCUCAGGUCUUUUGUAUGUAUUUCCCCUCCUGGAGCAUUGUUUACUCACAGUUCAUCUUGUCAUUCAAAGUCUCUGCUCAUAUCAGCUCCCCAGGGGGGUCUUCCUUGGCUUCCCCAGCACCCCCUUCACUGUGUAUCCCUUUACCCUGCUUUAUCAUAGCACUUGUCACUACCUGACAAUGUAUAGUUAUUUUUUGGUCCCCUCACUAGAAUAGAAGCUACCCGAGGACAGGGACUUUGUGUCUUUUUUUUAGUCACUAUUUUUUUUAAUCAAAGAUGCACAUUUUCCCACAAUUUAUUAAUAGCGGUUAGAAAAUCUGAAUGUGUCUUAUAAUCGCCAGUGUGUCCUGGUUUAAUUGGUAGUAUUUUUUUCUUUCUUACUUGUUCCUACAGUAAGUGGUGAGUCUUUAAAAUGAUGGUGUCUUAGAAUUGAUGAAAAUACAGUGUAUCCCCAAGGCCUGAACUCUAUGUGGCACAUAGUUGGCUCUCAAUAAUUACUUGUUAAAGGAAGGCAUUGAGUGUUGUGUGCCAGAAACUAUUGAAACCUUUUUUUUUUUUUUGAGAUCUCGCUCUGUCACCCAGGCUGGAGUGAAAUGGCACAAUCUUGGCUCACUGUAACCUCCGCCCCCAGGUUCGACUGAUUCUCGUGCCUCAGCCUCCUCAGUAGCUGGGAUUACAGGUGAGCACCACCAUGCUCUGCUAAUUUUUGUAUUUUUAGUAGCAAUUUAUAUCAUUCCAGCAGACUCUUAGAAAGUAGAUGGGGAGGGUGGGGAAUGUAAGAGAGACCAGUUAGAAGACACUCGAAAUAAUCUGAGGGAAGACCAGAAUGGGAACCAUGGCUGAAGGAUGGUGAGACCAGCAGGGCUCGGCAGCCUGCUGAGCAGAUGUCUGGCCUGAGCCGUGCCAGUAGGUGGCCCCCUUCACUAAGGAAGGGAAUCCAAGAAGACUAGGUUUGGGGAGUGUGAGACGGUUUGGUUUUGAACAUAAAAGUUUCAAGUGCAGAUGAAAGGAGGAAUCAGGUCCCAAAGGCUGCAGCAAGGGACUUAUCCUGAGGUUUCUCCUUCUGAGAACUGUAGGAGCUAUGGAAAGAAAUGACCAAAUUUAUUUUAGAAAGAUGACUGGUUUCAGCGUGAGCCGGCAUGGUGAUCCAGGCCUGAGAUGAUGGUGAUCGAAGGGGCAGGUGGCCCUAAGUAUGGAGAACAAGUGAGCCGAUUGGAAAGUUGCGUAGAUCAGGCCUUGGGGAGAGAUUGACUACGAACAGGAUGGGCAGUGAGAGAAAGCUGACAAUGAUACUUUGCUUUCCAGUUUGAGCAACUGAAUGGAUAUUGGUGCCCAUCUCAAUUAAACUCUGUUGAACCCAGCUGACAGUGAGCAGAGGAAGAACAUUUAAAUGGAGAAUCAUAGUAACAGCUAAUACUUUCUUUUAUUUCUUUCCUUUUCUUUUCUUUUUUUUGAGACAGAGUCUUGCUCUGUUGCCCAGGCUGGGGUGCAGUGGUGCAAUCUUGGCUCACUGCAACCUCUGCUUCCCUAAUUCAAGUGAUUCUCCUGCCUUAGUCACCCACGUGUGCCACCAUGCCUGGCUAAUUUUUGUUUGUUUGUUUGUUUGUGGAGACAGCGUUUUGCCAUGUUGGCCAGGCUGCUCUCGGACUCCUGGCCUCAAGUGAUCUGCCUGCCUCAGCCUCCCAAAGUGCUGGGACUGCAGGCAUGAGCUACCAUGCCCAGCCUAUGAGGGCUAAUACUUUCAUAGCUCUUCCUAUGCAUCAGAAGACUCAUUUUAAUUCUCACCACAAUUCUAUGAGAUUACCAUUAUCACACUCAUCUUCCAGAUGAGGAAACUGAAGCAAAGAGAAGUUAAGUAACUCACCAAGGUCACACAGCUAACAAGUGGCAGAGCUAGAAUUUGAACCUAGGCAGCUUGGUAGAGUCUGUGCUGUCACUGCCUCUCUGUGCUGAUAUAUCUCUAAAUUAGUUCAGUUUGGACAGAGUGAACCUGAGAGAUCCGUGGGGCAGCCGCGUGGAGGUGUCUAGCAGGCAUGCAGAUAUAUGGUUCUGAAGCUCACAUGGGAGGUGGGGACUGGAAAUAAAGACUGUGGAGUCUGCAUACAGGUGGCCAUUGAAGCCACAGGAAAGGUCAGGACCCUUAAGGAGAGGGUGGGAGAUAAUCAGAGGAAAGAAACAAGGGAGCCCUGGAAGGCAAACACAAGCAUUCCAGUUGUGGGAAGGACAUAGUCCUUUCUGCAAAUGAAUACACUGCACCUGGCUUAUAGAUCUUCAGUCAACAGAUAGUCCAUCCCGCAGAAUUUGUUUGGCUCUGGGUACCCUGACAAAAUGGAGUUCCUGGAGCCACAGCCCUAAGGACCUGCCUCAAUGGUGGUGAUCCUCCCCACUUUCUUCUACCAUGAGAGUCCACUGGGGGCCUGUUGGCUUCUCUGGGCAUCUGUUUUUUGCCCCUCCCUACAACUGAAGAGCCUCCAGCUCCUCUGUCUACCACCCGUCCACUUCGUCAGCUCAGGUCCCCUCCCUGUCUCUACGACCACAGUAACAUUUCACCUGGAGCUUCUUCAGGUCCCUCCUGAACUUAUUUUCAGCCCUUUACCCGUACAUUUCUUGUAUCUCCUGCUAGAUUCUAAAUUUCUGGAGGGCAAGAAAAACCUAUUAUGUUGACUUUCCCUCCCUCAACUCCUGCUCCCCUGUGUGUGUUAAAUGGCCCGACCCCGUUGUCCCAUGGGACUUCGCAUGCAGUCCACCAGAAUAGGAGCUGUACCUACCACAGGAGCCAGUGAGUCCAUCAGUCAGUCAGUCAUCUCAGCAAAUAAUUCCAGUUGUCUACUGGCUUUCUGGAAACAUGACUGGGGACUGUUGAUGCCUUUGACAGUUGAUUCAAGCAGCAGGACCUUUCACAACAGCCUCCUGUUUUUGUGGAUGGGGAAUAGGCAAGGGUUGGGAAGCGGGAAUUCGCCGCUCUUUCUUGUCAUUCUCUUCAUAGCCCCCAAGCUACUGUGGUCUAUUGUUUUGAUAGUUGCUUUCCCGAAAUGUUAACAGGAUGGAGAGUAAAGGAGGUAAAGGAGGACUCUGAUGCCUCAGCCAUGCGCCUGUGUGCCGAUUCCCAUUAAGCCUGCACCAAUUUGAUUUCCAAGACUCCAGUCAAUCCUCAGAGCUCCAGGAGGGGAGGGGCAGCUUUUCCUGGUAGCUGCUGAUCACCAGCAGAGGGAGCCCUAGGACUGCAGGGCCUCUUUCCUUACCGUUGGUGAAGCCCUUCACUGUGGCUUCAAAACUGUGGAAGACCCGGGAUUUGUGGAUCACUUGCCUUUAGAAUAGAAUCAAGAAAUAAAGCUGCAGAAGAAAGAAUCUCCAUGUGGUAAGGAUUGGAAGGGAGUGUUGAGAGGGGCUUUUGGGGUGCUGGUAAUAUUGUUCUUUGACCCGAUGUUGGUUAUAGGAGUGUGUGCUAUAAUGUGGUAUAUGUACAUUUUUCUGUGCGUAUAACUAAACUUCAGUUAAAAGUUUUUAAAACUUAAACAUCUCUAUGUAUACCACAAAAUAGGUAUCAGGUUAGGGUGAGCGGUUUUUUUCCCUACAAUUCUUAACCUUAUCUGAGUCACAAGACAGCCCUCCCUCCCUUCCUCCGAGAAAGCCACAGACCACUGGUUAAGGACUUCUCCUGCAGCAGCCGAAUAGAGAAAGUGAGCAAAGGACAUGAGCAGACGGUUCACAGCAAAAGAAAUACAAAUAGCACUUAAACUUAUGAAAAAAUGCUCAAUCUCAAUCUUCAAAGAGAAGUGCUUAUAAAAAGUAUGCGGAGAUACCAUUUUUAACCUGUCAGAUUGGCAGAAAUCCCAAAGCUUGACAGCAUGCCCUGUGGAUGGGGCUGGAGGUGGGGGAGUCGGGAGAAUAAAUAGCAGGACUUUUAAUACAUUACCAGUGGGAUUGUGAAAUUGACAGCCCUGUUGAUUUGGGCAAUAUCUACCAAAAUUACAAGUCUAAGAGUCUACCCUGUAGAUGACAUUUGUACCUAUAUGUAAUAAUUUAUGUAAAAGAUGAUCCAUUGCAACAUUGGCUGCAAUAGCAAAAGAUCAGAAACAACUGAAGUGUAUGUACAGGACUGGUGCAUCCACAAAGCAAAAUACUAUAUAACUGGGAAAAAGUUUGAGGAAGCUGUGUGUGCGCUGAGGAAAGAUCUCUAAGAUAUAGGUGAAAAAAAGCACGACGUACAGCUAAGAAUAUAUGUUUGUAUUGCUUCUAUCUUCAUAAAGAAAAACUGAUAAGCUAGACAAGUAACUAAGAAGUGUUUCAGGAAGUGGUUGGGGGCCAGCAGGAGGGGCCGGGCUUCUGAGUGUAUACCUUGUGUUCUGAUUUUUGAAUCAUGUCAGUGUAUAACCUGUGCAAAACAAAACAAAGUUUAGAGUUCCUGCUCUAAAGCUGCUGAGCUAAGCCUUUAGGAAUUCAUAAAUUAUUAUAUCUGCCCAAUUAAAGAAUAGGUGGGUUUGGUUUUUCAGUUUGAACUGAGCUGUGUCUUGGUGAGAGUCUUCAGCUUACUCCACAUUUGAACACAGUUCAGGAAAGUGUAUUGCAGUUUCCUGGCUCAGCCUAACUCUCAAGAAUUCUUUCUUUACCCUCCAUAUGCUCAAAACCAAUCUUGCCCCUCAAGUGUUGACACUCAGCUAGCUAUCAUUUUUCAAAGUAUUUCAUUUUCAGCUUAUGUAUUCAUGAGCAUCUAACUCUGCCUGAGGGGGAGAAGAGAAGUUUUCACCAGAAAAGUAUAUCUGUGUUUUCAGAAACCAAUAGAUAUGAAAUCUUGCUCUCCAUCCCUUAUCUUUGCCUGUCUCUAUAGCCAUCCUUUCUCCUUUCCCUCCUCCUAGCUAAAACCAAUCCCAGCUCUCCUCCCUUCUCAGGAAACUCACUUUCUUCUGUAUAUGCAAACACACAUCAUGUCUUCUGUCAUAGUAAAACCAAAAACAAAAAAAGCAAACCCCAAACCCACAAAGCCCCCUUCUACCCAGGUUCCCCACAGAGCUCCUGUCCUUUUCUCCCUGUUGGAGCCUUAGCCAGUGGCUCUACUUCUUCCCCUCUCCACCCACCCCCCUUCUCUCUCUCUCUGGGUCGGUCUCUCUCUGUCUCUCUCUCUCUCUCAGUGGCUGUACUUCUUCCCCUCUCCACCCACCCCCCUUCUCUCUCUGUGUGUGUGUGUGUGUGUGUGUGUGUGUGUCUCUGUGUCUCUGUCUCACCACCCUUUCUUCAAUCUACUGCAACCAGACUUCUAUCUCACCAAAACGUUCCUUGCCAAGGUCAUGGAUAACCUCCUUGUUGCUGAAUACAGUGGCCCUAGUCUCAUUCUCAUGUUGCUUGAGUUUUGAGCCCUGCCUGACGCUGAACACAGCCGCCUCCUCCACUCGCUCUCCUUUCAGUCCCUGUGGCCACUGCUCACAGGGGCACCCUCUCAGCCUCACCUUUUCUAUCUCCUCUGCAGGCUCCUCUUUUCUUGCCGGUCUGCUGACCCUCAGGGGCCAUGCCUUGGCUGUCUUCUCAUCUCACAUUCACUUCCAGGAUGAUGCCGGGUUGGAGAAUAUGGAAAACAAAUCUGACUUGCUCGAGUGAAAAAGGAAUCCACUAGAAGAAUGUCAGAAAGCUCACUCAACAAAAGGAAAAGCUAAACAGCUAGGCCUUAUCAGCCUGGGAGCCAGACCGAGCCCUUCCCAGGUGCCAGGAAUCUCUGAGCAUUGCCUCAGGCGAUUCAGUUCCACACAUCUUUGUUCCUGAUACAUCUCUCCGUACAAGAUUCAAAUUCCCAGGAAAGAAACUGAUUGGCUUUCAUGGCAGGGUCAUAUUUGACCCACUCCUACUCACAGGGGCAAAAACUGUAACUUCCUUUGUAUUUUUUCUUUUUCUUUUCUUUUUUUUUUUUUGAGAUGGCGUCUCGCUCUGUCGCCCAGGCUGGAGUGCAGUGGCACGAUCUCGGCUCACUGUAACUUCCACCUCCCAGGUUCAAGCUAUCCUCCUGCCUCAGCCUCCCGAGUAACCGGGACCGCAGGCAUGCGCCACCAUUCCUGGCUAAUUUUUGCAUUUUUAGCAGAGACGGGUGUUUUACUAUGUUGGCCAGGCUGGUCUCGAACCCUGACCUCAAGUGAUCUGCCCGCCUGGACCUCCCAAAGUGCUAGGAUUACAGGCACGAGCCACCACACCCAGCCCUGUAUUUUCAUCUAAUCUCAUUUUCAUCUCAAACUUCCAUUCUCCCAACUUGAGGGGAUAUUUCCUUCUCUUCUGGUUUACAGCGCUCUGUUUUGCACAGAUAUUCAGUGUUCAGGAUCCUCCUCUCUCCUGUGUGCUCCCAUCCUCCCGGCGUGGCAUCUGGGUAUAAGGGGGCAGUGGGUAAGCUUUAUGGCUCAGAUGCCAUUCCCUGCCUGUUGCUGGUCUUCACUCCCACGUGGUCGCUCGGAAUUUGUCCCCGGGCAUUACGGAUUAUGGUGGAACCUACCAAAAUGGGGUGAACCUGAUUUAGUUCCUGAGCAGUACACGGACCUGCUUAGAAAAUUGCCUGUCUGUAGCCAUGAGGUCCUCAUGUGCCACAACCCUCGCAGCUUGUCACCUGGCCUCUCUUUGUCCCUCAGUCCACUUAGCACAUCACUGGGACAUGUGGACACAUCUGGAUUACCACCUACAUGGCACCCACAGGUCAAGGGGACAACGGGCUGCUGUUACCACAGCUUCGGUGCCAGCUUAGUGCUGUCACGUGGUCAGUGGGGGGCAUCUCUCCCUGGGCUGUGCUUGGGAAAGUGGGAUCCUACUGUCCCCCAAACCUGUCCAGAUGCUUCUUAGUCCUACAUAGGAGUUUUCCUUCGAGGAGGGUAGACACUUGCACCUGAACUCUUGUCCUGCUUUUUUUUUUUCCUUGGCAGCACCAGAAGGCUUUUGCCCUGCUUGCUGUACAGGAACUUGUCUGAACCUUAUACUGUGUCAUCUCCACACUAUGGCCUAUAGAAAAUCUCUAUCCUCUCAUCCCCAGGUUGUCCUCUUGCUCUGUAAAGGGAAUAUUUUGAAAGUUAGGAAAACUGUUUCUGCCUCAACGAAGUCACAUUUUAACACUAAUGUCCACAGACUCAAGAAAUCUAAUUUAAAACAGAGCCAGGCAAUGGCUCCCAUUGAUUCAGUGGCUGGAGGGAGCUGCAGGCUAACUAGGAAUUAGGAAUUAGCCACAACAGAAGUGCAUUUGGUUUCAUCUCAAGAAAUAUCCUCCUUUACACCUGUCUUGGCAGAUGUGCCCACUGCUUGGGUGGCAGGACACUUUGAUUGUCUCACCAAGACUGUGUGGAAAGGGGUGGGGUACUUCUCCAAAGGGAAAAGUGGGCUGCUGUCACCCAUAAAAGGGGUAGAGGGAAAGGGCAGGCAGAAACAGUAAAUGUCUUCCAUAGCUUCAGGUCACAUCUGCCUGCUGCUGAUACCACAUUCAUAUCUGCAGCCCAUGUGUCUCCUCGAUGCCACACCUCUGUGUCCACAGUCUUCCUAUUCAGUCGCCUAUGUGGAUGUCCCUCUGACACCUGGUGAAACAUGAUGUGUUUCUAAUUGAGCAGGUUAUCUUUCCCCCUAAGCCUGGUCUCCUGGCCUUUCCCCAGUCCCUUCCAGUUUAAUUGAAUCAAAUCGAAUGUGAUUCAUCUCCUCCCAUCCGUCUGGCUCCUGGGUUAUUUAAUACCCCCCCAAACUUUGGAAAUAUUUUAAUGUGUUAAUAUAUUAUUUUUUAAUAAAAAAUAAUUUUAACAAAAGAAAAAUAUACCUUUAUAGAAAAUUUAGAAAAUAUAAAGACUCAGGCACCUUAUCAUUUUUAUCUCCUGGUUAGCCCUGGGAGGCAGGUACUAUUAUUUAUCCCCAUUUUACAGAUGAGGAAACUGAGGCUCAGAGAGGAAAAUAGCUUGCUGCUUUCACACAGGUCAGAAGGAUCUAUGCCGGAUUUGAGCCCAGGUCUUUCUGAUUGCAAGCUGAAGGCGGUCUUGUCUUUGGGAUACUCAGUUGAGGGGCUUGGCCUUUGCCUCAGAAGCAUUCGACUUGGCCCCUGUCCUUGAGGAUGUCCCCUGGCAGCAUUUGGUAAAGGUGUUGCGGAGCGCCUAGGAGCCACACUGCCUCUGAGAAGCCCUGCCUCAGAUGCCCACCCCUCUGUGUGGCCUUGGGCACACUGCCCAAGCCCCUGUGCCCAGUUUACUCCUCUGAAAAAUGGGGAUGAUGAUAGUAAUCGUAGGACUUCCCUUAGAGGGCUAGGAGAGGAUGAAAUGACUAAUGUGGUAGAACACUGCCCGGCUCAUAGCAUCUGAUAUGGCUUAGAUAUUUGUCCCCUCCAAAUCUCAGGUCAAACUGUGACCCCCAGUGUUGGAGGUGGGGCCUGAUGGGAGGUGUUUGGGUCAUGGGGGUGGAUCCCUCAGGAAUGGCAUGGUGCCCUCCCAUGGUAAUGAGUUCACCCCAGGCCCAUUUGUUAGAGCCUGGUACCUCCUGCCUCCUCCCUCUUGCUUCCCUCUCUGGCCGUGUUAUCUGUGCAGGCCGGCUCCGCUUCACCUCCUGCCAUGAGUGGAAGCAGCCUGAGACACUCACUAGAAGCCAGGCAGAUGCUGGUGCCAUGCAGAACUGUGACCCAAGCAAACUUCUUUUCUGUAUACAUUACCCAGUCUCAGCUAUUCCUUUAUAGCAUCGCAAAACAGACUAAUAUAGCAUCCAACAACAUUAGCCACUGCUACUAUUAUCAUUAGUAUUUUAAGUGUGUGCAUUUUAAUUGCUGGUACACUGUGUGAACUGGCUUGGAUGUUUGUCCCCUCCAAAUCUCAUGUCGAACUGUAAUCUCCAGUGUUGGAGGUGGGGCCUGGUGGGAGGUGUUUGGAUCAUGGGGGCAUAUUCCUCAUGCUUGGCUUAGCGCCAUCCUGUGGUGAUGAGUGAGCUAAUGGGAGAUCUGAUUGUUUAAAGGUGUGCGGCACCUCCCCUCUCUCUUGUUCCUGCUCUUGCUAUGUGACACACAGGCUCCCCUUUGCCUUCCACCAUGACUGUAAAUUCCCUAUGGCCUCACCAGAAGCAGAUGCCAGCACCCCACUUCCUAUACAGCUUGCAGAACCAAGAACAAAUUAAACUUGUUUUCUUUAUAAAGACAGACUCAGGCAUUUAUUUGUAUCAGUGCACAAACAGCCUCAUACACUGGGCAUACGUGUUAUAUCCUGCUUUCCUUCAAUUUACUAUUAGCGUUUUUAUGUCACAAACUAUUCCUCAAAACAUUAUUUUAAUGACUGUAUAAUAGUCCAUCAUUUAAAUAUAUUCAUAACUUAUUCUGUAGUUAACCAUCCACCCGUUUCUGGACAAUUAGGGGUGUGUGUGGGUGUUUGUUGUAAUAAAAAACUCUAAACCAAAAAUCCUUGUCUGAUUAUUUUCUUAGAAUUUUACACCUGGAACUCCUGGGUGGGAAGGUAUAAACCGUUUAAAGUCUCCGGCAACACACUAAUAAAUUGCUUCAAAGGAAAGUUCUCAACCGUUACUCUCAGCAGUGUGUGUAUUAGGGCCAUCCUCACCACACCCUUUCAGGUAGCGAGGUGAGCUUUUUCAAAGUCCACCUUUGUUGCUAUUUCUUUACAAGGCAGGUUUUACUACAUGUCCUUGGGUUGGUGGGGGUUGGUCCCAUGCUCAAGGUGCUUCUACCUAUGCUGCCUGUUACAAUGUUCUUAAAUUAGCUAACAGUCCCAUAAACCCUGAGUGGACAUAUUCACCCUGUUUCCUGCCUGGUCUGUUCUCCUGCGGGUGGAAAUAUAAUUUUCAGUGCUGGAAAUUUUUUUUUUUUUUUUUGAGACGGAGUCUUGCUGUGUCACCCAAACUGGAGUGCAGUGGCACCAUCUCGGCUCACUGCAAUCCCCGCCUCCAGGGUUCAAGCGAGUCUCCUGCCUCAGCGCCCCGAGUAGCUGGAAUUACAAGCUCACACCACCACGUCCAGCUAAUCUUUUUUGUAUUUUUUGUAGAGACAGGGUUUCACCAUAUUGGCCAGGCUGGUAUCAAACUCCUGACCUCAAGUGAUCCACCCACCGUGGCCUCUGAAAGUGUUGGGAUUACAGGUGUGAGCCACCGUGCCUAGCCAAUUCACUGGUUUCUCUGUUUCUCUGUCGCCCCUGCUUUAAGAUGUUUAGCAUGUGGCCUCGCUCCCUGGUGACAGCACAGUCCCAAAGCCCAGUAAUAUAUUUUAAAGAAGUCUAUUAAAGGUACGAGCUUAGCUGGACUGACCCAUUAUCUGAAAUCUGUGUGUGGCCUUCCCAACUUACAUUGCCAAUACUUGUGCCUGUUUCAACUUGAGAUUCCUGUUCGGUGUACUCUCCCUUUAAGUUACCCUACUGCUGGUAUCCUAACCUCCCAGAAAGAGAGCUAGAGUUUUAUUUUGUUAAAGUAAAAUCAGUAUUCCCCAGUGCUCUGUAUUUUACAAAAUGCAUUCACACAUGACUGCCUUGAUCCUCAGAAUGAUUCUGGGAGUUACUGUGUUUAUCUCCAUUUUGCAGAUGAGCCCCAGAGAGGCGAAGCCACUUGAGCUCGUGAGUGACAGUCAGAUGUCAAGCCCUGCUCUUUCUAAAGCGUGCUGCCUUCAGAAAAGAAGAGCCAGAAGGAUGGAAAUUACUUCAGAAAGAUGAAUACCAGCUUUGAAGGAAUAAAAGCUGACGAGGAAUUGAAGGAGUUGAGGCACGAGCUUGAACAGGGUUGCAUGUUUGGCCCUUGAUUGUAAAUGCCCAUUGCUGCACCUGUUCCUGUUACUUGGGGAGUUGCAGCAGAAGGAACAGCGGCCUGGGACUCCAGAGAACUGGGUUCCCUCUCAUCCCUCCAGGGCCACCACUUCUUGUGGGCCCUUGGGCAAGUCACUGUACUUUCUGAGUCUCAGUUUCCCCAUUUGCAGAAUGGAAAUAACUACCCCGGUCUACCAACUUAGAAGAAUUGCUUUGAGGAUCUGAUAAGGUGGUGUGGAUGAUGCUGCCUUGGGGGCUUUACAGUCUGGAGCUCAAGGGACCCCUUAAGUUGGGCUUACUUAGUAACUCCAGGGGUGGGCAGAACAGGACUCCAAUGAGGGUUUUUUUCUUUUUCCCUUUUUUUUCUUUUCCUAUCUCUUAACUUUUAUCUUUAUUAUUUUACAAUGCCCUUGUAAGAUGAAACAAGUGAUGCUGAAAUAUCUUUUUCUUUUUUAACCUUUAUUUUAGAAUUGGGGUACAUGUGCAGGUUUGUUACAUAGGUACAGUGUGGGCUGCUGAGGUUUGGGAGUACGAAUGAAUUAGUCACCCCAGUGGUGAGCAUAGUGCCCGAUAAGUGGUUUUUUCAACCCUUACUCCCAUCCCUCUCCAUUCUUGUGUUCCCCAGUGUCUGCUGUUCCCAUUUUUAUGACCAUGUGUACUCAAUGUUUAGCUCCCACUUAGAAGUAAGAACAUGCCCAGCACUUUGGGAGGCCGAGGUGGGUGGAUCAUGAGGUCAAGAGAUCGAGACCAUCUUGGCUAACAAAGUGAAACCCUGUCUCUACUAAAAACAUAAAAAAUUGGCCGGGUGUGGUGGUGGGCACCUGUAGUCCUAGCUACUCGGGAGGCUGAGACAGGAGAAUCGCCUGAACCGGGGAGGUGGAGGUUGCAGUGAGCUGAGAUUGUACCACUGCACUCCAGCCUGGGUGACAGAGUGAGACUCCAUCUCAAAAAAAUAAAAAUAAAAAAAUAAAAAGAAUGUGGUGUAUGAUUUUGUUUUCUGUUUCUAUGUUAAUCCACUUAGGAUAAUGGCCUCCAGCUACAUCCACGUUGUUACAAAAGACACGAUUUCAUUCUCUUAUAUGGCUGCCUAAUAUUCCACGGUGUAUAUGUACCAUAUUUUCUUUAUCACAUCCACUGUUGAUCCACACCUGGGUUGAUUCCAUGUCUGUGCUAUUGUGAAUAGCACUGCAGUGAACAUGUGGGUGCGUGUGUCUUUGUGGUAGAACGAUUUCUUUUCCUUUGAGUAUAAUAUAUCCAUUAAUGGGAUGGGGCUGACAUACUUAAAGUAGAAACGAAAAUUGUCAUGUGCUCCCCCACGCCCCUCCAUUCUACUCUGCAGAGAGACAGCUGCCUGCUGUUUGUGGUUUAGUACACCUCCUUCCAG